rnacentral:lncRNA from 1 species
CUACACGAUCAAUUUCUCAUUCAUUCACACUUUAUGGGCCCAGGAAAUUGAUAUCACAUGCUGAACUCCAAGAAAGGCUUCAUCAACUACUUCUGACUUUAAUGAGCGUUUGUGCCAAGUUAGAUUUUAAGAAAUUUCUCUGUAGGUCGCGUUAAGCAUUUUUAAAUUUUCGUAUUAUACGGUACUUAUCAAUUCUUCCUCUCAUUUAGUUCACGAUUUGUUUGUUUUUUGAUCAUUAGAGCCUCAGGAAAAGGGGAAUGAAAGAUCAACCCUGGUUUUUUGUUGCAAAGCUGUUUCAGUAAUUUAGUAAAGUAUAUUAAAGAUACAUUUGAAAAUUCCAAACUCUCACUGUCUCUAACCCUUUCAAUGACCAAUCCUGUCCCCUACUUUUCCUCUAAUUCCUAAUGAUUAUGAAGGAAACUAUUAAUAUUGUGGCAAGCACACUUUGCAAGUAUACAAAUUCAUAACAUGGCAACAUUUUGUGUCGGCAUUUUUCCAUGUGACAACACUGUUGAUAUCGUUCGGGAGUCUUGGCUUUGUGGACUCAAUAAUGACUUAGAGGAAUUGUGCAAAUUCCCCCCUGUAAAAGGGGAUAGGAAGAAACUCCAAAAUCUGCUGCUCCAGCAGGAGGAACCUCAUCCAUCGUGGCAAGAAUAUGUGAUAGUUGCCAAGCGAACUGGUAUCGAGUCAUACUCAGAGGCAGUCCGCUUACUAAAAAUAAUACAAGAGGACGAAGAUGGAGUUACUACAGACCCCGAGCAACUCGGCCGUGGUUGUCGGAGCCCCAAACGGAAGCGAAUUCUCUCAUCAUCGGAAGAAGAUAAUUCACAGGUCAAAAAAGCUAAAUUGAAAAUAGGCGGAGGAAGAAAAAAGUCAAGGGAAGUGCGCAGUAACGCGCAAAACCUAUGUACAUCAAGUUUACAGGAUUUUAAAAUCCCUCAUUGUAAAUCUUUUAGAAUUCCAUCGCCAACUUUAAGCUCAAGUAUUAAACAAAGUAAUUCCAAAGCUGGAAACCCAACAUAUGCCACAUCAACCCAAAAACCAUUUUUGUCACCUCUGAUGGACAUCAGCAACAUUUACCCAACCCUAAAUCUUACUGAUCAAGCAGAAAAAAAACAAAGAAACUGGUCCUCUGAAAAACAGUGUGCCUCAAAAUCGACUUAA